CGCGUAGGCGGUUCGAUUAGUCGGAGGUGAAAUCCCUCGGCUCAACCGAGGAUCCGCGUCCGAUACUGUCGAACUUGAGUGCAGGAGAGGAGAGCGGAAUUCCCAGUGUAGCGGUGAAAUGCGUAGAUAUUGGGAGGAACACCGGUGGCGAAGGCGGCUCUCUGGACUGUUACUGACGCUGAGGCGCGAAAGCUAGGGGAGCAAACGGGAUUAGAUACCCCGGUAGUCCUAGCCGUAAACGAUGGGCACUAGGUGUGGGAGGUAUCGACCCCUUCCGUGCCGCAGCUAACGCAUUAAGUGCCCCGCCUGGGGAGUACGGCCGCAAGGUUGAA
rnacentral:rRNA from 1 species